rfam:Schistosoma haematobium scaffold413_41, whole genome shotgun sequence.
AUCUAGUUGACGAGUCCCAGGUCGGAUGAAACGUGCGUCCUGGAU